AGAGCGAACGCUGGCGGCAGGCUUAACACAUGCAAGUCUAGCAGGCGUAGCAAUACGUCAGCGGCAGACGGGUGAGUAACGCGUGGGAACGUACCCUUUGGUUCGGAACAACCCAGGGAAACUUGGGCUAAUACCGGAUAAGCCCUUACGGGGAAAGAUUUAUCGCCGAAAGAUCGGCCCGCGUCUGAUUAGCUAGUUGGUGAGGUAAUGGCUCACCAAGGCGACGAUCAGUAGCUGGUCUGAGAGGAUGAUCAGCCACAUUGGGACUGAGACACGGCCCAAACUCCUACGGGAGGCAGCAGUGGGGAAUAUUGGACAAUGGGCGCAAGCCUGAUCCAGCCAUGCCGCGUGAGUGAUGAAGGCCCUAGGGUUGUAAAGCUCUUUGUGCGGGAAGAUAAUGACGGUACCGCAAGAAUAAGCCCGGCUAACUUCGUGCCAGCAGCCGC
rnacentral:rRNA from 1 species